rnacentral:rRNA from 1 species
UACGGGGGGGGCAAGCGUUGUUCGGAAUUACUGGGCGUAAAGGGCUCGUAGGUGGCCAACUAAGUCAGACGUGAAAUCCCUCGGCUUAACCGGGGAACUGCGUCUGAUACUGGACGGCUUGAGUUUGGGAGAGGGACGCGGAAUUCCAGGUGUAGCGGUGAAAUGCGUAGAUAUCUGGAGGAACACCGGUGGCGAAGGCGGCGUCCUGGACCAACACUGACACUGAGGAGCGAAAGCCGGGGGAGCAAACGGG